CGAUUCCCCAUAAUCAAGGUUUCCAGUCUGGUUCAGGUGAAAAGAGCACCGUAAGGAGUGUGUACUCCCCCAAGUUCAGAGUGAUCAAAUACGAGCAGUUUAUUACUCUGUAUUUUGAAUGCCAGGUGUCAACGUGUGCAAGCCAACUGCCUGGGAAUAGGUGUGACGGGAAUCAGUGCCAACCAAAGGACACAGAGGAGUCUUAUCAUGGUUUUCAAGGUCAUUCAAAGGUCGCCACCCUACCUCCUUGGUUACGAGUUCAUCCUUACAAUUUUCAAAAUGAAAGUUGGUGGCUAGAGACAGAGCAACCAAAAGUUAACAAACGCAGUUCAGACACUGAAGACCCACCGACUAAAGGAAAAGAAGAGAAUGAUACCGAAACUGAAAGGAAUAACGAAAAUG